rnacentral:rRNA from 1 species
CACGUAGGGCGCAAGCGUUGUCCGGAAUUAUUGGGCGUAAAGAGCUCGUAGGCGGACUGUCACGUCUGCUGUGAAAAGCUGGGGCUUAACCCUGGCCUUGCAGUGGAUACGGGCAGACUAGAGGUAGGUAGGGGAGAAUGGAAUUCCCGGUGUAGCGGUGAAAUGCGCAGAUAUCAGGAGGAACACCAAUGGCGAAGGCAGCACUCUGGGACGUGACUGACGCUGAGACGCGAAAGCGUGGGGAGCAAACAGG